UACGAAGGGGGCUAGCGUUGCUCGGAAUCACUGGGCGUAAAGCGCGUGUAGGCGGGUCUUUAAGUCAGGGGUGAAAUGCCAAGGCUCAACCUUGGAACUGCCUUUGAUACUGGAGAUCUUGAGUCCGGGAGAGGUGAGUGGAAUUGCGAGUGUAGAGGUGAAAUUCGUAGAUAUUCGCAAGAACACCAGUGGCGAAGGCGGCUCACUGGCCCGGAACUGACGCUGAGACGCGAAAGCGUGGGGAGCAAACAGGG
rnacentral:rRNA from 1 species